AACGAACGCUGGCGGCAGGCUUAACACAUGCAAGUCGAACGGGUGCAGCAAUGCAUCAGCGGCAGACGGGUGAGUAACACGUGGGAACCUUCCUAGGGGUACGGAACAACUCGGGGAAACUUGAGCUAAUACCGCAUACGUCCGUGAGGAGAAAGAUUUAUCGCCCUUAGACGGGCCCGCGUCGGAUUAGCUAGUUGGUGGGGUAACGGCCUACCAAGGCGACGAUCCGUAGCUGAUCUUAGAGGGUGAUCAGCCACACUGGGACUGAGACACGGCCCAGACUCCUACGGGAGGCAGCAGUGGGGAAUCUUGGACAAUGGGCGCAGGCCUGAUCCAGCCAUGCCGCGUGAGUGAAGAAGGUCUUCGGAUUGUAAAGCUCUUUUGCCAGGGACGAUAAUGACGGUACCUGGAGAAUAAGCCCCGGCAAACUUCGUGCCAGCCGCCGCGGUAA
rnacentral:rRNA from 1 species